GCCAGCAUGGUGUAGUGGUUUGAGUGUUGGACUACGACUCUGGAGACCAGGGUUCAAUUCCCAACUCAGCCA